GGGGCUGACCGGAAUUGACAGGGUGGAAGAUUUGUGUGUAAGCAUGCCAGGCGUUGUGGGAAGUGCCUGUAAAAGAAAAUCCUCAAUCUAUAAACGGCGAAAAUAACUACGCUCUUGCUGCGUAAUUUUUACAGAUGUAAAGAUCACUUUUAUCCCGCAUAGUGUGGGAGGCAAGAUGUUCCCCGGAAGCGCAAGCCUUCCGCGUCCGACUCGGGGGCACAGAAAAGAAGGAAUAAGGUUAGUAACGCUUCGCAGCUAACCCGACAAUUUAAGAAGCUAAGUUGUAAUUAGCCUGUAGGCGGGCAGGUUACGAUCGAAAAUUAAACACCAACUAAGCAUGUAGAAGGCGCAUCAGGUCCCAUGUUUGGACGAGGGUUCGAAUCCCUCCAGCUCCACAA
rfam:Solitalea canadensis DSM 3403, complete genome.